rnacentral:misc_RNA from 1 species
CCCAAGGCUUCUGGAAAGAAUAAGGUGCAGUAUAUUGCUAUAACUCAUUACAUAUUCUUCAUUUGGAAAGAUGAUUUCAAUUUUUGUUUUUCUAGUUAGCCUUUGGAAUUUGGACACUGCACUACCCUGCCUGACAUGUGAGCAUAAUUGUCAAAGGCAUAAGGUACACAAAGGACCUAGGUGCAAGGUGCAUGUACCUGUUUUAAGGAUAUGAGGUGCACAGUUAUUUAAUUCUGUCCAAAAACACGUAUAUAUAUUUUCAGUUUAUUAAGUUGAAAUGACUGAAUGCAGAAAUUGUUGAAAUUUAGAAUGAUAGAAAAAGGUAGGAGAAAAUAAGAAGAGAAGGAUUUACGUGGUUUGACUACCAAGAGCCUACGUCAAAGGACAAAAAAAACCCUCAAAGGAUUACAUUUCAUUUACUUGUGUUUAAAAUAAUAUAUAGGAGUCUAUAUUUAUAAUGGAAGAUACAGGAUAUAUAUGACAUCCUAUCAAUAAAUCUUAAAUCACUCCUUUAUUUUAGACAAGCACUAAUCAAGCCAUUGAUUUUGGUAAUCAACCACAUGAUUUUCUCAUAAUUAUAAGAUUCCUUAGUAAGAGACAUAUCCCAUAAGUUACAGGAAAGUCUUGUCAAUUCCAAUAGAAACAUCCUAAAAUCUAUAAUGAGACACCGUGAACUACCAAGAGUAGUUCAGCUUAAGUCAAGUGCAAACUAGUUUGUAAAAAAUACAAACACAUCAACACAAUAUCACAAUUACAUAUUUCAAAUUCUAUCCUCAAGCUAUUUUGGUACUAUAAAGAAGAUGACUGCUAAGAUUAGCUCAACGAGUCAUGUACACAUGAAUGCAAGA